GAUGAACGCUGGCGGCGUGCCUAAUACAUGCAAGUCGAGCGAACGGACGAGAAGCUUGCUUCUCUGAUGUUAGUGGCGGACGGGUGAGUAACACGUGGAUAACCUACCUAUAAGACUGGGAUAACUUCGGGAAACCGGAGCUAAUACCGGAUAAUAUUUUGAACCGCAUGGUUCAAAAGUGAAAGACGGUCUUGCUGUCACUUAUAGAUGGAUCCUCGCUGCAUUAGCUAGUUGGUAAGGUAACGGCUUACCAAGGCAACGAUGCAUAGCCGACCUGAGAGGGUGAUCGGCCACACUGGAACUGAGACACGGUCCAGACUCCUACGGGAGGCAGCAGUAGGGAAUCUUCCGCAAUGGGCGAAAGCCUGACGGAGCAACGCCGCGUGAGUGAUGAAGGUCUUCGGAUCGUAAAACUCUGUUAUUAGGGAAGAACAUAUGUGUAAGUAACUGUGCACAUCUUGACGGUACCUAAUCAGAAAGCCACGGCUAACUACGUG
rnacentral:rRNA from 1 species